UACGUAGGGCGCAAGCGUUUAUCCGGAAUUAUUGGGCGUAAAGAGCUCGUAGGCGGUUUGUCGCGUCUGCCGUGAAAAGUCCGGGGCUCAACUCCGGAUCUGCGGUGGGUACGGGCAGACUAGAGUGAUGUAGGGGAGACUGGAAUUCCUGGUGUAGCGGUGAAAUGCGCAGAUAUCAGGAGGAACACCGAUGGCGAAGGCAGGUCUCUGGGCAUUAACUGACGCUGAGGAGCGAAAGCAUGGGGAGCGAACAGG
rnacentral:rRNA from 1 species